GACGAACGCUGGCGGCGUGCCUAAUACAUGCAAGUAGAACGCUGACUACUUUAGCUUGCUAGAGUAGAAGGAGUUGCGAACGGGUGAGUAACGCGUAGGUAACCUGCCUACUAGCGGGGGAUAACUAUUGGAAACGAUAGCUAAUACCGCAUAACAGUGUUUAACACAUGUUAGAUGCUUGAAAGAUGCAAUUGCAUCACUAGUAGAUGGACCUGAGUUGUGUUAGCUAGUUGGUGGGGUAACGGCCCACCAAGGCGACGAUACAUAGCCGACCUGGGAGGGUGAUCGGCCACACUGGGACUGAGACACGGCCCAGACUCCUACGGGAGGCAGCAGUAGGGAAUCUUCGGCAAUGGGGGCAACCCUGACCGAGCAACGCCGCGUGAGUGAAGAAGGUUUUCGGAUCGUAAAGCUCUGUUGUAAGAGAAGAACGUGUGUGAGAGUGGAAAGUUCACACAGUGACGGUAACUUACCAGAAAGGGACGGCUAACUACGUGCCAGCCGCCGCAGUAA
rnacentral:rRNA from 1 species